UUCAAAAACGCCAGCCCUUCUUUUUCCAACGGAACGAGUGAUGCAUUCGAUUGAUAUGCUGCAUAUCACGGGCAGAAGAAACUAUCGGUGAUUAGUUAUGUCAAGGUGGCGCCAAACCAAAAUGUUAGGAUCGCCAAAGUUUCGCUUAUUUUGGAGUAAUAAAAUUGGGCUGACUGAUUUGGCGCUGUUUCUGCCUGGAAUUGUGGAGGCAGUUUAAAUGGACUGCCAAAUUUAGGUUGAGUGUCCUCCAUAUCUCGCCUGAUGGGAUCAGCCCGAUUCAGAUCGCAUCUCGCCGCCGAUUCAUUUUUCUGUAAAUUUUCUUCCUAGUAGGGAUCAGCCCGAUUCCUAUCUCGCCGCCGCCGGCGCCACCCAGCUCAGCCUCGCUGCUCGCCGGCUACCCCCACGCAGCCUCCUUCUCACAGGCCGAUUCCCCUACAGCCGCCGCACUCCCACGCCCGCCCCCGGUCGCACCCACGCCAAAACCCUAGCGCUCCACUACCGGCCGGCGUCGGCAACGAAGCAGGACGCCCUCGUCUGGCUUCUGCUCCUUCUCCGACCACCACGCGCGACAUGGACCCCCUCGUCGGUGGUCCGGUCCGGUGCUCUCCUCCACGGCUCCGACCCAUCCGCGCCGAGCUCACCCGGCCGUGCCCGCUGGGGAUGUUCACCUGGAAAUUCAUGUACUGAAUAUCAACCAAGGAUGGGCAGCGGCAUGGCGGCUAGACCACGGUGGAGCUGAUGCGGCCAGCCAACGAGCCAUGGCUCUGGGACCCUGACGGUCGGUCGGAUGCCGGUGUCCUUGGGGCCUCGAUCAUCUGCAAGUGCAAGGAGUUCAACCGGAAACAAGCUUGGGGUUGCCUCCAUCCAGUGGCGACAGGGCACCCUCCUCCCCACGUUCUCCUCCUCCGCAGCAGGUUUUCACAAUGCACUGGCUUCGUCCUCGACAGUAACAAGGCCAUGAAAACGCUGAUGCGCGCAAUUUACUUUUAUCUUGACUCCGCGUUGUUGUGUCGUAUGGCAACGGUCGCAAUUUAUAGCCUUCUCGUCAUCAACAAGUCUGGUCACUUAUAUAGUACAAAAGGACUAUGGGUUGGCCUGGAGAAUGGACACCAACGGCAGUCUACAAUUUGCAAGCCACUGGCAUUUGAUGCAUGCUAUCUCGCAUCAGUUGUCCCCUACCAUUGGUUGUAACGGCAUUGAUAUCCUAGGCCUGCAGCUUCGACCUCUAGUACUUCUUCCAAUCUCUCGAAGAGGUGCAGGAAGAGAAAGGUUUGAUCUUUGGCGUCCAUGGCCACAACAUAGCAACCGACUGGAACACGUAGAGCAGAGCUGAUGUGGUCAGCCGACAAGCCGUGGCCCUUGGACCCUCACCAACUCAGCCAUCCUCGGGCCCUUCCUAUGUUGCACGGUUAUAUUUUUUUUCCAGCUGUUCAAUCGGAAACAAGGUGCCAAAUUGGUAUGUUUCUGUGGGUUAAGUCCAGUAACUAUGGAGUCCAUAACUUUAUAUAAGAAAUUCAAGACUUCGUAUGUCAGCUUCAUGAAAUUUGGGGAAAUGGAUUAUAGCGUCGACGCCACACCACGCCCUCUCCUACUCAGGCCUCCCCGCAGCCUGAGCCGAGAGUCGGGAGGCAUUCAAAGCACCCCUGCCCCGUAGUAGGUCUGCUUGUUUGUUUUUCUUCCUUUAGCGGGACUGGACACAACCAUGUACAUCUUUAUUUCUGUUUUACAAACAUACUCGUGGCCAUGCUUAUUUUUGUCCGAUGUAGCUGCCCAACAAGCUGCGGCACUAGGACCCUCGCCGGCUCCCUUGGAGCCUACACCAUCCGCAAGCGCACCCGACUGUUGUGGAUGUCUCCGGCUCCGGCCGCAUUACCCGUCUCCAAGUUGGCACCCAUCACCAACUGUAGAUUGUAUGGGUAAUCUGUUGGUGGGAGACACAUAGAUUGAGCAGGAACAGCUCAUCAGCUGGUGCCGACCACAACCAUGCUCUUGCCUCCGCACCAUGUGCCCUCCUUGUCGCAACCCUGCGUGGUGCUCCUAGUUGAUGAUUUAUUGCUGGGCUUACACUAGACAAUGUUGUUCAAGCAACAAGUCCGUCUGAAGGUGAUGGACUUACUUCUGCUUACUUCUGUUGCAUGUUUGAAAAUUGUCCCUUAAAACUGGUACUAAUAGGCAGGGCAUACUGUAGUAGGAUACAUGGUAUCUUGUGUUAGUUUAUUAGAGGUUUUCAUAGACGUGGACAAGUUUGUGGUCUUGGUGUGAAACAACACUAUGUGGAUUUUUAAAGUAUUACGUGUCAUGUCUUUGGUGGGUUGACAUUUUUAAACUAUAAUGUGCAGAUUUUACUUCACAGUAUUUUCUAGUGUAAGUCUGCCUGCACUUUGAAGUGGGUUGUCUAAAAAUUUGCAGCUGGAAUAUUUGAUUCUUUUAUUUAUGGCAUGUUAAUUGGCCUGCAGCUGUUUUGUAUGCACUAUUCGUAGUAGAUUUGUCAAAAGUUCAUGUUCGUAUUAUUGUCUAUUUAUUUAUUUAUUUUGCUUAAUUUGUUGCAGGCUUGCGGCCAUCGGACCUGGAGAAAUACUCAGCUAGGUCUGGGGCAUAGCUAUAGCAGUCCGUCCUGAACAUCAGCAGUUUCAGCACUUCUCUGAUGACCACUCCAAAUAUCUUCUGCAGCGGCGUCAGCGGUGAUACAGGGGUGCGUGGGGUUGUCAAGGACAAGGGGACCUACUGCAAGAGGUAAAUGGUUAGUUGCAGCAGCAACUGCGGUCUCGGCCUCGGCUACAAAUCCCUGCUGGUGAACCCCGGUAGACCUAGAUCUGUUGUCGACGUCUUCCGAUGACCACAUCCCGAAGAAAUUGCUAUGAGUAACUAACAAAGGUGUAGCCGAAUGCACAAAAAUUGUGGAGCGCUGCAGGAAGUACGAAAAGUUAUGGUAGAUGGAAGAAAAGAAAUUUGAGUGUGACCGGCUUCAUCGUACUAAAAUUCCAACUCCUGGGGCUUCUCAGAGGCACGCCAGGUCGAAUAACUGGCUUCGCUCGAGGAAUAGGUGGUGGUAUGCCUGGAGCUGGAGGUGCUCCUGGUACUAUUGGUAUGCAUGUCAUCGUGAAUGUAAGCACUUGGACACUGCAUAUCUUUGUUUGUGCAACUAAUUGAAUCUUUUCUUUGUUGUACAAGACCUUGACCUCAUGACAACAUUUGGUGACUCUGAGGUCAUGUCGGCUCUUCAAGACGGUAUGGGUUCCCUCAAGUAGUUCCCUUGUUAUUGUUAAUAAUGUGAUGUCCUGGAUGUUGGGUGCCCUCUUUAUAGUUCGAACUAUCCCUGGUCAUGA